UACGUAGGGGGCAAGCGUUGUCCGGAUUUAUUGGGCGUAAAGAGCGUGUAGGCGGCCUGACAGGUCUGCUGUGAAAACUCGAGGCUCAACCUCGAGAUGUCGGCGGAAACCGUCUGGCUAGAGUCCGGAAGAGGAGAGUGGAAUUCCUGGUGUAGCGGUGAAAUGCGCAGAUAUCAGGAAGAACACCUAUGGCGAAGGCAGCUCUCUGGGACGGUACUGACGCUGAGACGCGAAAGCGUGGGGAGCGAAUAGG
rnacentral:rRNA from 1 species